UACGUAGGGGGCGAGCGUUGUCCGGAUUUAUUGGGCGUAAAGGGCUUGUAGGUGGCCACGCCAAGUCGGAUGUGAAAUCUCCCGGCUCAACUGGGAGGGGUCAUUGGAUACUGGCGGGCUCGAGGCCGGUAGGGGGAAGCGGAAUUCCCGGUGUAGUGGUGGAAUGCGUAGAUAUCGGGAGGAACACCAGUGGCGAAGGCGGCUUCCUGGACCGGUUCUGACACUGAGGAGCGAAAGCGUGGGGAGCGAUCCGG
rnacentral:rRNA from 1 species